rnacentral:pre_miRNA from 7 species
CUUCUGGGUUCCUGGGUGUCACACAGAUCUCGGUGGGACCUCCAAAUGAAAGAACCUAGUGGGGAAACCCCCACUCAGCUCCCGAUUCAGCUUGCACCCAAGAAUCACGAAUAGAACA